CCCUCUUUUUUCUUUACCAGCAAGACAAGGGAAGCAUAGGGACUCAAACAUGGUUGCAAGACGCCUGCAGCAAUCAUUUUAGCUACCCGACGCUCGAUCUCGUCUUUUUGUUGCGGAGAAUAUUUGAAGGAUGAGAGUUCGGGGCGUAUGACCAGGUUCCAGAUUCAAAGCAUGGUCAUAAGCACGAUGAGGAGGUAAUUCUGAAGGUUGUGCAAAAACAUCUGUUUUGUAAAACAUUGAGGUCUAGCGGUAGGACGGUACUGAUGUUGCCCUGAUCCACAAUUGCCAUUGGCCAUACAUCAUUUACAGUUAAAAGCGUGCUCUUGGUUUGGACGGACGGAAGCCGUGGCUUCGACGGCGCCGUUGCAACCAGCUCUAAAUCUAGCCAACCGAGUCGUCGGAACGAAUUUCACACCCGUCGCAAUGGAAUUUUACGGCCGGGUCGAGAGAAUUUGGGCGCAUGCGGACGCAAGUCUAGGCUGUGGUUACCAAAUUGCGAGUGCCCUGGGUAGACUGCAGUGGGAGAGGAUUGGGGAAUUGGAGGAACAACAGAGAAUAAGAGGAACGAACAUAGAAGGUGAGAGCGGUUCCGGCGAGCACAUUCCAAACCACUUUCCCCUUGGCUUCUUCCUUCGAUCCCCCAACCCCCGAGUCCAGAUGAGUGAGAGCGGUUCCGGCGAGGACAUGACCCACCGCCGCCGCCGCCGCGGCAGCAGCCCGCCUACGGGGCCUGCCUCCCUGCCGGGCGACGGCGAUCUCCUCUGGGAGAUCCUCCUCCGCCUCCCGCCGCAGCCGUCCUCGCUCCGCCGUCUGCAGGCAAUGGCGGCGCCUCGCCACCGACCCCAAAUUCCUCCGCCGCUUCCGCGAGCACCACCGCAAGCCGCCGCUCCUCGGCGUCUUCGAGUGCCGCGACGAAGCCGUGGUCUUCACCUCCGUCCUCGACCCUCCCGACCGCAUCCGUCCCGAGCGCUUCGACCUGGGACGCUACAGCGGCCGCCGCGACUACACCUUGGCCUGCUGCCGCCACGGUCGCAUCCUCGUCUUAGACCAUGUGGACGAAUACCUCGUCGUGUGCGCCCCCAUCACCGGCGAGCAGCGCCGCGUGGCCGUUCCACCCGAGUUCAUGACGGGCCCCCUCAACGGGGAGGUGCUCUGCGCUACCGGCGACAUUGGCCACGUGCACGGAGAGUGCCACUCCGGCCCCUUCAAGGUGGUCCUGGUGUCCAUGAUCGGAGAGGAUUUUCGACCCAUCGCUUGUGUCUACUCCUCUGAGACCGGCUUAUGGGGCAGUCUCGUAUCAAGUCCAUGUUCACCUCCUUUCGGGUAUGGUAGAACUGGCAGACUUGUUGGCAACACACUUUACUGGUUGCUUUGGUCUGUUAUGCGGGAUAGCAUACUUGAGUUUGAUUUGGAAAAUUUGAGUCUGGUUUUGAUGGAUCAGCCACCCAUUGACGAUGAUUUUCGCCUUGCCGGCUGUCAGAUCAUCAAGGCUGAGGAUGACGCUCUUGGCUUUGCCUAUUUGUCUUACCCAAGCUUCCAAAUGUGGCAGAGGAAUUUCAAUGCUCAUGGUGUUGCCAUAUGGGUGCUGUGGAAGACCAUCGAAUUGCAUAGCAUUCUUGGGCUUCCUCCUCAGAUUCAGAGACCCGCAAGUGAGGUGGUAACUGUUACGGACUCGGACCAUGCUGGGAAGAUGGGAGUUAUACUGAGCUAUGCUGAGGAUACUGAUGUAGUUUUUAUAUUUGUGGAUGCAAAUGUCUACAAUUCAAGUGUAUCCUUGACAACUAUCCUUUCACAAGUUUCUAUGCGCCAGGCACAUCCAUUGCUGGUGGAUCUAAUGGAGCUGAAAAUGCUGCACAACACAUUGGAUGAUUGCUAAUGUGCUGAAAUGGUUCAGCAUGUAAGAACAUCUUCUGAAUAUAGCUUAAGAGAUAUGGGGAAUUCUGUCUUUUUCUCUAUGGAAAUAUGUGGCUGCCAACAUGGGUAAAAUGCACUCUCAAAAUAUCGUCAAUUUGGCUGUAGAGAUUCACGCAUGUAAAUAACAUACACAACAAUUAAAAUGAUGGUAAUGCCGAGAUAAAAUGACUCUUUUUGUUGCAAAUGAUAUCCAGACGUUGAAUAUCAUGUGGAUGUUAAAAUGAUGUGUACCUAUAUGGGCAUUCAUAGUGUUCUCCUUGGUUUAGCUUUUUCAAAGUCAUUGAAUUAGUAGUGCAUUUUGUUGUUAUAAACAUCAGCCAUAAUGGCCCUACAAGUUGAAGACGAGAAGAUUGACGAUUUUGCUUUGUCCAGGCAUGUGUGGAAUCUCAAACUAGUUGUAUUCUUUUAUCCGGUACUUCUUUUCUGUUUAACUGUUUUAAUUUUGGAUUUUUUAGUCAAUGAUAACAACUUUUGUUUACCUUCUUAAAUAGGCACAGCCAUUGCUGAUGGAUCUAAUGGAGCUGAAAACGCUGCACAACACAUUGGAUGAUUGCUAAUGUGCUGAAAUGGUUCAGCAUGUAAGAACAUCUUCUGAAUAUAGCUUAAGAGAUAUGGAGAAUUAUGUCUUUUUCUCUAUGGAAAUAUGUGGCUGCCAACAUGGGCGAAGGAACAGCUGCUGCAGUUCUAGCUGGGUCUGUCGCAUCGUCUAUGUGUUUGGCAGAAUUUAUAAGUUAUCUACCCGAACUUCCUGAACGUGUGCUAAGUUUCUAAUGUAACAAGAUGCUUUUAAAUAGCCUACUAUUUUGCUGUAUCUCCCGAGUAAUAUUUUCAGUCGUAUUUCAUUGUAUCUUGUUUAUUUUAUAUGGUUGUGCUUGGCAGCCCUUCUCAUCAGCCAGGAUUGAGUUUUGGAGUGCAUUUUUUACUCAGUUAACCAUAAUCAAACAUACUGAACAAAAUCCAAUCGAUGGUAUAUGUCCUCCAAGAAAAAUCAAGCACCUUUUCAGUUAUAUCGAGAUAUACUCACCGUGUAGUAUAUGUCCUGUAUCAUGGUAGUAGUAGUGAUUGGUUCAACAUGAUUCACAUUGUGGGUUUUAAAUUGAGCCAUAAUGUCUAUACAAACAUUUACACAACUGGGGAACACAAAAAACUCCAUAUGCACCGGAUGCCUCUAUACAUACAUUCACACAACUGAGGAACAUAAAAAUCCAUAUGAACCGGAAGCAAAGAUAUGGAUGUCGUACAGGAGGAAACUUAGGUGCUUGCAAACCUCAUGGGAAAACAAGUGCUUAUCUUUAGUACUCCCUCCAUAAAGAUAACUAAAGGAGUGAUCUAAAUGCUUUUUGUCAUAUUUUGUUCGACAACUGCUUCUUACAAAGUAUAUUGGUGACAUUUAAGGUAGCAAAAGAUGCCAUUGGUGUCGAGCGUGCAGGCCAGGGCUUUGUAGCUGAGCCACACAGCGGUUCCACCCGUAACUUAAAAAAAAUCAUAAGUAAAUUAAAAAAUGAAGUAAAUAUGCUAAAGAGCAUGCAAAAAAUCAUGGUGAAACAACAUUCAAGGAGCUCUACACAAAAAGAAAAACGAGUCUUCAAGCCACACUACAUCUUUAUUCUUGGUUUUAACUCGGAUGCAAUGUAUAGCAUAAGUCCUAUAGCCAACAGAGCAGAGAUGGUUUACACGCCCCGAGCCUUAGCGAUUAGCAAUAAUUAGUCAUGGUAUCAGAUGCAACAUUUGCUUCUAGAGACUAGUUCUGGCCAUUAGAUAAGGUCCACAAAAAGCUUGAUAAUACAAUACAAAAACUACUACUAAAGAAACAGAUAUAUAUUGUGAUCCGCAGAAGACAAGGCACACUGCAUAUAUUUUACAAGGAACCCUGCUGCAAAUAGCUUGCACCAGGAAACGGAAAAAGAAGAAAGCCUCGUGAUUAUUUCCAGCUGCCUUCAAAGUUGGCGGCUCCAGGCAAUAUAA